GCCCCUGCCUGCGCUGAGGCUGCCGAGCCUGAGAAAUCCCAAAAGGGGCCUCGGCGGCGGGCUCUGGAUCCCGCUGGGGGGCUCUGACCCUGCCAAGUCUGGGCACUCCGCUGCGGGCCUCCUGGCUCCCGGGGUUCAUGGCUGUUAUGGUUCCUGGCUGUCGGGGCUCCUGGCUUUCGGGGCUCCCUGGCUGAAGGGGCUCCUGGCUGUAGGGGCUCCUGGCUAUGGAGGUUCCCGGUUAUAAGGGCUUCUGGAUGUAGUGGAUUCUGGCCGUCGAGGUCCCUGGCUGUCGGGGCUCCUGGCCGUAAUGGCCCCUGGCUGUCGGGACCCCUGGGUGUCGGGGUUCCUGGCUGUCGGGACCCCUGGGUGUCGGGGUUCCUGACUGUAGGGGCUCCUGGGUGUUAGGGUUCCUGGCUAUAGCAGGGGCUCCUGGGUGUCGGGGUUCCUUGCUGUCAGGGCUCCUGGUGGUAGAGGCUUCUUGCUGUUGGCUUCCUGGCUGUCGGGGUGACUGGGUGUCAGGGCUCCUGGUGUUAGGGUUCCUGGCUUCCUGGCUGUAGUAGGGGCUCCUGGGUGUCGGGGUUCCUUGCUGUCAGGGCUCCUGGUGGUAGAGGCUUCUGGCUGUUGGGGUUCCUGGGUGCCAGGGCUCCUGGGUGUCAGGGUUCCUGGCUGUCAGGACACCUGACUCCUGAGGCUCCUGGCUUUUGGGGCUCCAGACCUUCCUUGCACUUCCUGUGUCUCCUGGGUCUGUAAUAGAAGGGGCCGGUGGAGGGGUGGGGGUGAGACAUGUGAGUGAAAGUGAAGUCAGAUGUGUACAUUUAGGAAGCUGAAAUUAUCAAAAAUGAAAUUGCAUAAAGGUGAGGAAGAACUGGGAGGUCUGGGAACAGAAGUGGUAGAUCUUGAACUUCAACACAGACAGGGUGCUUCCAAUUCAGUCCUGGGACCUGAACCCGGAGCCCACAGCAUGUCCCUCCUCCCCUGGCCCUCCGCGCGUGCCGCCACUCAUUGCAGCCCCACAGAGCCAUCACCCAUUGUAACCUCAGAACAGAAGGGGCUGGGUGGGUCCACAGAUCCCUGCACUCCUCCCGUCUUGCCUCCUUGGAUGAUCCCUGGCUUGUCUUUCUCCCUUGGGAAUCCCCCUGAUGUUGGCUCUCCAUGUGGUGUACUCUGUACCCCACACCCCAUGCUUCCCACACACCUUCUGGCCUGAGUAAUCUCCAUGCCCCCAGUGACAUCAACCUCCAGGGAAACCUCAAUAGCAAGCCCAGAACCCUCCCCUGCAUCCCAGAGCCUAGCAUCCACUAACUUUGAGGAGGGGCCAUCUUUUAUUGGAUAUCCCCAAACCACACUGGGCCUUCCCUCCAAAGUGCCUCUCCUCUUGGUUCCCAUCUCAGGGAACACCAUCGCUCCCACCCAGACACUUGGGGCUCCUUCUGACUGGUCCCCCUGCUGUCCCUGGGCUUUGAGGCCAAGCCCCCACAGAGCCUUCCCUACUAGCCAGGUGUUCCCAGGCCUCCUUUGCUUGCUUCUACCGUGGCCUGUCUCAUGUUGUAGAACUGUGCUUGUCCUCCAUUGGCCUGUGUUCUUAAAGGGCAGGAGCUGAUCUGUGUCUCAGUGCCUGGAUCAGAGUCAGACACAUAGGAGGUACUCAGUCCAUGCUAACAGCUGCCAGAGGACUGGGCUCACUGGAUUGCAAAGACUUCGUACGAGAAAAGUAGCAUAUCAUUCAUACUUUUUAUAUUGAUUACAUGUUGAAAUGAGGAUAUUUGGAUAUAUUCGGUUUUCUGAAAUAUAUUAUUUAAAUUGGUCUCUUUUACCUUUGGCUCCUGAGAAAUGUCUAAUUUCAUAGGCAACUUUCAUUCGUGGCCCUUGAAUUUUCUUGGGCAGCACUACUGUGGUGUUUAAAAGCCUUUUGGAGCCUGUCACAUGUAUACCUCACCUGGAGAAAUACAUGGUAUUGAACACGGUAAAUUGUGUUAUUUAAAAUGCAACAGGAGAGUGAUGAGGAACCAUUUUGUAUCUUGCCUGUGGUGGUGAGAACACAAACUAAACAUGAUAAAAUUGUAUAGAACUUGGCUGGGUGCUCUGACUCACACCUGUAAUCCCAACAAUUUGGAAACCCCAGACAGGAGGAUCACUUGAGCCGAGGAGUUGGAGACCAGCCGGGCAACAUAGGAAGACCCGGUCUCUACAAAAAUAUAUAUAUAUAUAUGAGUCAGGCAUGGUGGCUCACACUUGUGGGCCCAGGUAGGUGAGAGGCUGAGGUGAGAAGAUCACUUGAGCCUGGGAGUUGGAGGCUGCAGUGAGCCAUGAUCCUGCCACUGCUACUGCCCACUAACCUGGGCGACAGAGCAAGACCCUGUCUCAAAAACAAAAACAACGCACACACACACACACACGCAUGCACGCGCGCACGAGUACAAGUAAAACUGGGAAAAUCUGAAAAAGAUCAGUCGAUUGUUUAUAAAUAUCAACAUCCUGGUUGCAGUAUUACAGUUUUGCAAGGUGUUGUCAUCGGAAGAAAGUGUACACAGGAUCUGUAUUAUUUCUCACAACUGCAUGUGAAUCUACAGUUGUUUUAAACUAAAAAGUUUAGUUAAAAACCAUGUAAAUAAGACUUUAAAGUUUACUAUGAAAAGAAUGCAAUAGGAGGGAAAAAAGACACCAUGUCAAAAAAAAAGAAAAAGAUACCAUGUCAUAAAACAAGAUACACAUUCUGGUUAUCACUUUUUUUCUUUUCUUUUCUUUGAGAUGGAGUUUUGCUCCUGUUGGCCAGGCUGGAGUGCAAUGGCGUGAUGUCGGCUCACCGCAACCUCCACCUCCCGGGUUCAAGCGAUUCUCCUGCCUCAGCCUCCCAAGUAGCUGGGAUUACAGGUGUGUGCCACCACGCCCGCCUAAUUUUGUAUUUUUAGUAGAGACGGAGUUUCUCCAUGUUGGUCAGGCUGGUCUCGAACUCCUGACCUCAGGUGAUCCGCCCGCCUCGGCUUCCCAAAGUGCUGGGAUUGCAGGUGUGAGCCACUGUGCCCGGCCUGUGAUUAUCAUUUUUAAGUAGAAUUGAAUGUAAAUAAAACAUAUAACUAUAUCAGUGAAUGGCUCAUAGAAAAGGGUCUCCAGAAGGAUGCUCCCCAAAUUAUUAUCAGAGCUUGCCUCCAGAGGGCAGAAACAGAGGAGAGCUAAAGGGAGGCCCUUCACUUUGACUUACACACUUCUUUGUGUCAUUUGCUUGUUUUCUAAUAGCAUAGACUGCUUUUGACAUUUAAAAAAUAAUGAAAUUGUAUUGCACAGGGGAAAUGUGCUAUAGUGAAUCCUUUUCAAAAAAAAAAGCAGUAAUCACCCCUCAAAUGUGGCUGUUUUAUAAAUGCUGAUUUUUCUUUUAUUUUUUAUUUUUUGAGACGGAGUCUUGCCCUGUCACCCAGACUGGAGUGCAGUAGCGCGAUCUGAGCUCACUGCAAGCUCCGCCUCCCGGGUUCAUGCCAUUCUCCUACCUCAGCCUCCCGAGUAGCUAGGAAUAGAGGCGCCUGCCACCACGCCCGGCUAAUUUUUUGUAUUUUUAGUAGAGAUGGGGUUUCACCGUGUUAGCCAGGAUGGUCUCGAUCUCCCGACCUCGUGAUCCGCCCACCUCGGCCUCCCAAAGUGCUGGGAUUACAGGCGUGAGCCACCGCCCCCGGCCCGCUGAUUUUUCUUUUAAAUGGAAUUUGCUGAAAGUGGCACAAACCAGUUGCAGAGCAGACUCUAAAAAAAAUGCUAUGAAAACUCCUGGAUAACACUUCCAUUUCUGCCCUUUUUGUAGUUUAUUAUUGUAGGGGCCACAGGAAAGCUUCUCCUUAGCCCUCUGAUGGUUUGCUGAAAAUCACUGACAAAAGGCAGAUUAAUAGGAGAAAAGAUAAACAAAUUUAUUUGAUCACAGUUUCACGUGACACGUGAAGACUCAAAGAUACAGGGAAAACUGUCCAUUUGUAUGCUUAGGUUCAACGAAGUAUGGACAGUUAUGUAGAAAUACGAUUGGACAAAAUGGGUAUGCUCUUAUGCUAGCAGAACUCACUGGGGGCUUUGCAGAUGCUGACGCCCCCCAGAACCCCCUGCUACCAGCCAUGGUCAAUCCCACCAUGUUCUUCAACAUGGCCGUCAAUGGCAAGCCCUGGGGCCAUCAAACAGCCCUUCGAGCUGUUUGCAGACAAGAUUCCAAAGACAGCAGAACACUUGCAUGCUCUGAGCACUGGAGGGAAAGGAUUUUGUCAUGAGGGUUCCUGCUUUCACAGAAUUAUUCCAGGGCUUAUGUGUUAGGGUGGUGGCUUCACACGCCGUAAUGGCGCUGGUGGCAAGUCCAUCUACAGGGAGAAAUUUGAUGAUGAAAACUGUAGCCUGAAGCAUACAGGUCCCGGCAUGUUGUCCAAGGCAAAUGCUGGACCAACACGUACGGUUCCCAGUUUGGCAUCUGCACUGCCAAGACUCAGUGGUUGCAUGGCGAGCAUGUGGUCUUUGGCAAGAUGAAAGAAGGCAUGAGGGUCCAGAAAUGGCAAGACCAGCAAGAAGGUCACCAUUGCUGACUGUGGACAACUCUAAUAAAUGUGACUUUGUGUUUUGUCUUUGAAAAGAACUGACUGGGAGAACCCAGCAAGGCUGGUCUGGUGUUCAGAUUCUUCCUGGCCUCUGUGCAGCCUCCUUCCUUCUGGGUAAAGGAGCAAGACCCUCUGUGGAAUGAGGUCUUAUGAACUACACUCAAGCAAGACGGAAUCUCGUUCUGACGCCCAGGCUGGAGUGGAGUGGCAUGAUCUCGGCUCACUGCAACCUCCGCCUCCCGGGUUCAAGCAAUUCUUCUCCCUCAGCCUCCCAAGCAGCUGGGACUACAGGCGUGUGCCACCACACCUGCAUUUAGCCAUUUAGCCAAGUUCUAUUCCGUCUUGGUGGUGGUGGUGGGGUUCCCAUAGCCUGAAGAAUAAGGGCCUGGGGCUCUGGGCCUGGGGACUGAAGCUUAGGCCUUGGAGACCUGAAGCUCCAGUGGAAGAUGCUUUCCUGGACUUUCCUGGCAGCAAAAAAAACUUCACCUCUUGCCUAUGAAUUGCCUGUAUUUUAAAGGGUGUGUGUGUGUGUGUGUGUGUGUGAGAGAGAGAGAGAGAGAGAGAGAGAAAUUGAGGUGUAAUUAUUUUGCUGGGUGAUGACAACAAACAUUUACUGCUCCUAAACAGGCAAGGAAAUGAUUUAGCCAUGAACUUUUCAUGAUGCCUCAUUCCCUCCUGUGGUCCCGUGGUCCUCAGGCUGCGCAGUGGGAGAAGGGGGGGUGGGGGGCCACAAAUAACCCACGUGGAAAGGAAUGUGGGGUCAGCCUCAGGAAAACUGGGAGGGGAGGUCCCACCUGGUGGGGGUCUUUGUAAACCCUACCAAGGGAAGCCCAGAAACACAAAGAGGUGCAGGGAGAGAAAGAAGGAGGAGGUGUUUUAAAGAGUAAAGCCUGGCAUUAGAAAGUGUUAUUCGAGUAAAAUGGCCAACGUUUCCUUUCUUUUAAGAGCGACUCUUAAAUUCCAAUUACUCCGCCCCCAAAGACCAGUUGAGAAUAACCCCAACUGGAGGGAAUUAAUUUCCUUAGGAAUUUCACUCUUACAAGAUUAAUGGAGCCCCCCUGCAGAGAAACGGUAAAACUGUAAGUACAGUAGAUUUGCACCUGAAGGAUACAUAUUUUAAUUUCUGUUCUCAAGCUGCGAUAACAUCUUCUCCAGCUACUAUAAAAAGCAUAAAUGAGCACCCGCACGUCUGCUGAGAACUUGCAACCCCAGGCUCCCCGGGAGCAGCCCCGCGCCGACCCUCCACGUUGCUCGCCUGGGUGCGGCGUGGGCGCGGGGAUGGGAAGGCGCGGGGAUGGGAAGGCCCAGGGCAAACAGCCUCCCCGCGAGCCGGGUCGACCCAGCCCAGAGCAGAACCCCUGGACCAGAUUAUCUUAAGUCGACCCCUACCCCGCCCCCAGCCCUGUCACCCACCGUGGCACCGCCCUCCCGCGGGGACAAUUGGCCUGGACCAAGAAUGGGGAGCCUGAACAGUGGCCGGUCUCCCACCCGCUCCUCCGGAGCCUGCAGGGGGGUUCAGCCUCUGUCCAGCAGACUUCCUGGCCCCAAGAACGGGCCUUGGGAAGGGGCUCCCCUGACUCCAAGUUGACAGCAGCCCGUCCCUUCUCCUUAGCCCAAGCCACUCUGGCAAUGGGGACCUGCCUCCCUCACGCUAACCAAGGACCGGUCUGGGAUGGGGAGUUGGAGAUGGGCUGUGAGGACUCUUCUCUCAGCCCUUAAGAGUCCAGAACUUAUCUGGGAACACAUCAGCCAAUUUUCUGUUCCCUUUCUUGCCAGGAACUGCUUUUAUUGGAAGAAGUCUAUGUAUAUGCAUGCCAUAAAGGUUGUUUAUGCUGUCAUAGCUAGAUUUUUAUUGGUUGUAUUUUUGCUGCACUUGCUUGAAAAAUAAUUAUUUUCAAAGAAAAGAAGAAUUACAUAUCCAGUAAACUAAAUAAGACUCACUGUUUAUUAGAGACCUCUGACAGCUCCUCAAACACGAAAAAAGAUUUCCAAGUAGUGGAUGGACAAUUUAUGUGUAAGUUUAUUUGUAAAACAGAUUUCAAAACAUACUUCAUCUUGACUCUGCCAAUAAAAAUACAUUCCAUUUCUUUUCAGAAGUAUGUCUUAUCUGAUGGCUUCACAGUAAUCUGGUUUCCCCUAAGAAGCUAAGACUAUCUGGGAGAACAGCACAAGAAAAACCCACCCCCAUGACUUGAUUACCUCCCACAACACGUGGGAAUCAUGGGAGCUACAAUUCAAGAAGAGAUUUGGGUGGAGACACAGCCAAACCACGUCACCAGACUGCCUCUUCAGGGAGUGAAUCACAAAUGUAUUCCUGACCACCCUGUUUUCUCCCCUCUUGAAUCAGAGAUGGGGGUCGCCUAUAUUUCCAAGGCUGGUCUCCAACGCCUGGGCUCAAAAGAUCCUCUGCCUUGGCCUCUCAAAGUGCUGGGAUUACAGGUAGUGAGUGAGUUCUGGCUCUAAGAGUUCAUGCAAGAGCUGAUUGUUUAAAGAGGCUGGCACCUCCUCCUCCCUCUCUUGCCACGUGAGACCCCGCUGCCCCUUGGCCUUCUGCCAUGAUUGAAAGCUUCCUGAGGCCCCACUGGAAGCAGAUGCUGACACCGUUGCUUCGUGUACAGUCUGUAGAACUAUGAGACAAAUAAACUGCUUUGUAAAUACCCAGCCUCAGUAUUCCUUUAUAGCAGUGCAAAACAGACUAAUCAAAGGGGGAAGCAUUUCCAGGUAAAGAAGAUAACCAAUUAUUGUUAUUGUAAUAUCUAAAGAAACCGUAAAUUUCAAAGGUAAAAUCUAACCUUAUUCUAGUGCCCAAGGAAGUGCUGGGAAUGUUUAAAUAAGAGGGCAGCAGGGAAUGGAAGGAGCGCCUCGGAAAUGCCUACUCCAUGCCAGGCUCCCUACUACAGGCUUUACGUGUUAUCUUGUACAUCUCAGUAAGAUGAGCAGACAUGGUGCUUUUUAAAAGACGUCAUGGGAGUUUGAAAGGGGGAAGAUUGGGUAAAUGGAAAAACAGAAGUCAUGGCUUUGCAAAAGUUGAAUCAAACUGCUCCUUGGCCCGGCCCCAUCACACACACAGAUCCCCCUUGGCAUGGCCAAAAUGAGUGUGUUCAUUGGCAAAUCAGCAGCCACUCUUGGAAGCUCUGACUUCUCUGGAAGGCAGAUGACAGAAGCAGUCUAUUUUAUUCCUAUUUUAUAGAUGAGGGAACUGAGGCUCAGAAACAAACACUCAUCAUUUGAAUACAGGAGCCAUUACCGAAUCAAACCUCUCUGGAAACCGCCUGAACUCUAUGUGAUCCAGGAAGGGGAAAGACUGUGUGCUCAGUUAGAGAAAGACUAGAGAUGGUCACACCAGCUACCAUUAGUUGAGACCUUACCAGACACAGUGCUCACCACUCCACAGUCACAGACAAACAUCUCACUUAAAACUCCAAAGUGGCCGGGUGCGGUGGCUCAUGCCUGUAGUCCCAGCACGUUGGGAGGCUGAGGUGGGCGGAUUAAGAGGUCAAGAAUUUGAGACCAGCCUGGCCAACAUGGCGAAACCCCGUCUCUACUAAGAAUACAAAAAUUAGGGCUGGGCGCGGUG
rnacentral:lncRNA from 1 species